rnacentral:rRNA from 1 species
GACGAACGCUGGCGGCGUGCUUAACACAUGCACGUCGAACGAUGCAGCUGGAGCUUGCUCCGGCGGAUUAGUGGCGAACGGGUGAGUAACACGUGAGCAAUCUGCCCUUCACUCUGCGAUAACUGCGGGAAACUGUACCUAAUACCUGAUACGAUACCUUGGGGCAUCCCAGGGUCUGCAAAGAAUUUCGGUGAAGGAUGAGCUCGCGGCCUAUCAGCGAGUUGGUGAAGUAAUGGCUGACCAAGGCGAUGGCGGGUAGCCGCCCUGAGGGGGCGACCAGCCACACUGGGACUGAGACACGGCCCAGACUCCUACGGGAGGCAGCAGUAGGGAGUAUUGGGCAAUGGGCGCAAGCCUGACCCAGCGGCGCCGCGUUAGGGAUGAAGGCCUUCGGGUUAUAAACCUCUUUCAGUAGGGAAGAAGCGAAAGUGACGGUACCUAAAGAAGAAGCACCGGCUAACUAUGUGCCAGCCGCCGCCGUAA